rnacentral:lncRNA from 10 species
CUCUGUCCCAUCAGCUUCCUCCACAGAGCCUGAACCGGCACCAGCUCCACUCUGCAGGAAGGAGGAUGUGGAAAUGAAGAGGCAGGCUCUGAUGACUCAACACAGCCACCCAAACAGGCAAUCUCCCUGGGACUUGCUCAGGGGAUUUUUACCCCCCUACAUGAAGCAGAGAAACAGUGAGUUUCCUCCAAGAUGUCAAAUCCAAGAUGGGUGUUCCUGAUCUGCCUGUAGCUCUCCUCCAACCCAGACUCCUUUCAAACUGUGCCUCCACCAUCUUCAAUAUGGAGCUUCCAAGAUUGCCCUGCUGCCCUGCAUCAAGCCUGCAAAAGAGGAUAGGGGGUCAGGCCACUCAUAUUUCAUUGGCCCAAAUUCAGUCACAUGGCCACACUCACUGCAAGGGAAGCUGGGAAAUGGAGUCUAGCUCUGUGCCCAAGAAGCAAAGAAAAACAGAUUUGAUGAAGACUUAGUCAAUCUCUGCAACAAUGAAACAGA